UUAAGAAGGAAAUCCCAUUUUCUUAUUUCUCUCUCUCGUGCCUUCUUUCUUUUUCGUGUCUUCACCAAAUCAAGCCACAACUUCAUCUCAUCUUCACCUAUUCGUUUCUUUGUGGCUUCCUCUAACAUUGCCAACAAAUUCUCAACUUAGAGCUGUAGAAAUUACUCACUUAGAUUAUGACGCCUUCAUCUCAUUUUAGGAUUAUAAUUGGAGAUUAUUGAGAAAACCCAAUAACCUCAAUUCCUAAUUUCUCUCUCUCAUCCCCUGUUACGCUUGUUGCCGUGUCGCGCCUCGUCGCCGAAUUAUGCUCGCCGGAGUUGCGCCUCUCCUCGCCGGCAUUCUUGAAGCUCGUCGGAGCUGCGCUGUUCUGCAGCGGUUUACUUCUCUCUCUUCUUCUCGUCGUGUUCGUGCCCUGUUCGUUGCGUGGAGUGUCUUGUUGCUGCGCGGUCUUGUCGACGAACGGCCGCUCGUAGGUUCUGCCACCGUGCACCGAAGCUUCGAACCCUUUCCUCCUCUGUUCUUCGCUGCUCACAAGAGCAGAGUUUCCUUAAAUGUUUCAGGUUGAAGCCGUGAGUUAAUCUUUUGCAAGUUGAAGCUGAUACGAGAUGGUGUAUUAUGUUAGUUGUUACCAAAGUGAGGGCGCUUAACUUGUAAUAGUUAGUUAUAUCAAACUUUUGUUUUAAUUCUUUGUAUUUAAGAGUCGUUAGUGCUCCUGAUUCUC